GGUAGUAUAGGAUAAGCAUCGCCUAACUCCGGGCCAGCAGCCGCGGUAAUACGGAGGAUGCAAGCGUAUCCGGAAUCACUGGGUUANAAGGGUGCGCAGGCGGAAUAGUAAGUCAGAGGUGAAAGCCCACAGCUCAACUGUGGAAUUGGCCUUUGAUACUGUUAUUCUUGAGUGUAGUUGAAGUAGGCGGAAUAUAGCAUGUAGCGGUGAAAUGCAUAGAUAUGCUAUAGAACACCAAUUGCGAAGGCAGCUUGCUAAACUAUAACUGACGCUGAGGCACGAAAGCGUGGGGAGCGAACAGGAUUAGAUACCCUGGUAGUCCACGCCGUAAACUAUGAACACUCGCUGUUGGCAAUACACAGUCAGCGGCUGAGCGAAAGCGUUAAGUGUUCCACCUGGGAAGUACGAUCGCAAGGUUGAAACUCAAAGGAAUUGACGGGGGCCCGCACAAGCGGAGGAGCAUGUGGUUUAAUUCGAUGAUACGCGAGGAACCUUACCUGGGCUUAAAUGUAUAUUGACGUACUGAGAAAUCAGUAUUUCUUCGGACAAUUUACAAGGUGCUGCAUGGUUGUCGUCAGCUCGUGCCGUGAGGUGUCGGGUUAAGUCCCAUAACGAGCGCAACCCCUACUUCUAGUUACCAGCAUUUCGGAUGGGGACUUUAGAGGAACUGCCUACGCAAGUAGAGAGGAAGGUGGGGAUGACGUCAAAUCAGCACGGCCCUUAUGUCCAGGGCUACACACGUGCUACAAUGGCCGGUACAGAGGGCAGCUACAUAGCAAUAUGAUGCUAAUCUCAAAAGCCGGUCUCAGUCCGGAUUGGAGUCUGCAACUCGACUCCAUGAAGCUGGAUUCGCUAGUAAUCGCACAUCAGCAAUGGUGCGGUGAAUACGUUCCCGGGCCUUGUACACACCGCCCGUCAAGCCAUGGAAGUUGGGGGUACCUGAAGUCGAUUGCCGUAAGGCGUUGCCUAGGGUAAACCAAUGACUGGGGCUAAGUCGU
rnacentral:rRNA from 1 species